CUGUGUUACUAGAGUCAUGUGUGAUAGUGUAGAGUCUCACUGAAAAACAUAUGGCUUUCCAUUGCAUAUACUGUCUAUCCAAGGCUUAACAAUUAUUUCCAGGACCUCAAUAUAGGCAGUAGAGUUAACUCUAAGGCCUUGUGGAAAGAAGUAAGGAGGCAUC